rnacentral:rRNA from 1 species
UACGGAGGGUGCAAGCGUUGUUCGGAAUUAUUGGGCGUAAAGCGCGUGUAGGCGGCUCGUUAAGUCUGAUGUGAAAGCCCUGGGCUUAACCUGGGAAGUGCAUUGGAAACUGGCGAACUUGAGUAUGGGAGAGGAAAGUGGAAUUCCGAGUGUAGGGGUGAAAUCCGUAGAUAUUCGGAGGAACACCAGUGGCGAAGGCGGCUUUCUGGACCAAUACUGACGCUGAGACGCGAAAGCGUGGGGAGCAAACAGG